rnacentral:rRNA from 1 species
AGCGAACGCGGAAGAGGCCAAACCGGAGGUAGCAAUAUUUCCGGGGUUAGGACUGCAAUAUGUAACUUUAAUCUUUAACUGAAUGCUUUGGGAAGAGCAGCAAUAUAGGGUGAUAGCCCCGUAAGUGAAAAGGAUUGAGUGCUAGCAGUAUCCAGAGUACCAGCGGACACGUGAAACCCGCUGGGAAGAUGGGGGGACCAUCCUCCAAGCCUAAAUACUACUCAGUGACCGAUAGUGGAGCAGUACCGUGAGGGAAAGGUGAAAAGUACCCCGGGAGGGGAGUGAAAGAGAACCUGAAACCUUGUGCCUACAAGCACCGAGAGCACGUUAAAGUGUGAUCGGGUACUUUUUGUAGAACGGUCCGGCGAGUUAAUAUUUGCAGCGAGGUUAAGGAACUGGAGUUCCGGAGCCGCAGCGAGAGCGAGUCUGAAAAGGGCGUAUGAAGUUGCAGGUAUUAGACCCGAAACCGGGUGACCUAUCCAUGAGCAGGCUGAAGCGGUGGUAAGACACCGUGGAGGGCCGCACCCACGUCUGUUGAAAAAGCCGGGGAUGACUUGUGGAUAGCGGAGAAAUUCCAAUCGAACUCGGAGAUAGCUGGUUCUCCCCGAAAUAGCUUUAGGGCUAGCGUUAUUUUAGAUUACCGGAGGUAAAGCACUGAAUGGUCUAGGGGCCGCGAGGUUACCAAAGCCUAUCAAACUCUGAAUGCCGGAUAAUUGAUGAAUAGCAGUCAGACUGUGUGAGAUAAGUCUCAUAGUCAAAAGGGAAACAGCCCAGAUCUACAGCUAAGGUCCCAAAUGAACACUAAGUGGAAAAUGAUGUGAAACUGCGAAGACAACCAGGAUGUUGGCUUAGAAGCAGCCACUCAUUCAAAGAGUGCGUAAUAGCUCACUGGUCGAGUGAUUUUGCGCAGAAAAUUUAACGGGGCUAAGUAUUCAACCGAAGCUUAGGCAGUAUUAAAUACUGGGUAGGGGAGCGUCGUAUGCGGGGUGAAGUCAGAGUGGAAACACUGGUGGACUGCAUACGAGUGAGAAUGCCGGAAUAAGUAGCGAGAAUUAUGUGAGAAUCAUAAUGGCCGAAAAUCUAAGGUUUCUUGGGGAAGGUUCGUCCGCCCAAGGUUAGUCGGGAGCUAAGCUCAGGCCGAAAGGCGUAGGCGAUGCACAUACGGUUGAUAUUCCGUAACCACCGAAAGCGUUAAACCAGAGGACACAUUCAUUAAUUCUAACCCGGGCGAUGGUUGCCCCGGGCGUAAGGGACCGAAAUAAUAGUAGGGAAGUAGAAGGCGUGAGUGGCGAGAAAAGUCUGGCGUAUUGCUCAGGUGCCCGUACCGCAAACCGACACAGGUAGAUGGGAUGAGUAUUCUAAGGCCAACGGGAGAAGGGUUGUUAAGGAACUCGGCAAAUUGGCCCCGUAACUUCGGAAUAAGGGGCGCCUCUGAGAAGAGGCCGCAGUGAAAAGGCCCAAGCGACUGUUUAGCAAAAACACAGCUCUCUGCUAAAUCGAAAGAUGACGUAUAGGGGGUGACGCCUGCCCGGUGCUGGAAGGUUACGAGGAGGGCUUAGGAGCAAUCCGAAGGUCUGAAUUUAAGCCCCAGUAAACGGCGGCCGUAACUAUAACGGUCCUAAGGUAGCGAAAUUCCUUGUCAGGUAAGUUCUGACCCGCACGAAUGGCGUAACGAUUUGGGCACUGUCUCAACAGCCAACCCGGCGAAAUUGUAGUACCGGUGAAGAUGCCGGUUUCCCGCAACUAGACGGAAAGACCCCAUGGAGCUUCACUGUAGCUUGAUACUGGACUUCGAUAUUCCAUGUACAGGAUAGGUGGGAGGCUUGGAAGCAUGUGCGCCAGCAUAUGUGGAGCCGCCCUUGGGAUACCACUCUUGGGAUAUUGGAGUUCUAACCUGCGGCCAUGAAUCUGGUCGGGGGACACUGUCAGGUGGGCAGUUUGACUGGGGCGGUCGCCUCCAAAAGAGUAACGGAGGCGCUCAAAGGUUGGCUCAGCAUGGACGGAAACCAUGCUCUUGAGUGUAAACGCAAAAGCCAGCCUAACUGCGAGACUGACGGGUCGAGCAGUAACGAAAGUUGGAGUUAGUGAUCCGGCGGUAUGUGAGUGGAAAUGCCGUCGCUCAACGGAUAAAAGCUACCCUGGGGAUAACAGGCUGAUCUCCCCCA